CCCUUAGGUGUUCUGGGCCGCACGCGCGCUACACUGACGAAUGCAACGAGCUUAUAACCUUGGCCGAAAGGUCUGGGUAAUCUCCAAAUUUCGUCGUGAUGGGGAUAGAUUAUUGCAAUUAUUAAUCUUCAACGAGGAAUGCCUAGUAAGCGCAAGUCAUCAGCUUGCGUUGAUUACGUCCCUGCCCUUUGUACACACCGCCCGUCGCUCCUACCGAUUGAAUGGUCCGGUGAAGCGUUCGGACCGUGGCCUUUGGACGGUUCGCCGUCUGUUGGCUGCGGGAAGUUCGUUAAACCUUAUCAUUUAGAGGAAGGAGAANUCGUAACA
rnacentral:rRNA from 1 species